rnacentral:rRNA from 1 species
GAUGAACGCUGGCGGCGUGCCUAAUACAUGCAAGUCGAGCGAACAGACGAGGAGCUUGCUCCUCUGACGUUAGCGGCGGACGGGUGAGUAACACGUGGAUAACCUACCUAUAAGACUGGGAUAACUUCGGGAAACCGGAGCUAAUACCGGAUAAUAUAUUGAACCGCAUGGUUCAAUAGUGAAAGACGGUUUUGCUGUCACUUUUAGAUGGAUUCGCGCCGCAUUAGCUAGUUGGUAAGGUAACGGCUUACCAAGGCAACGAUGCUUAGCCGACCUGAGAGGGUGAUCGGCCACACUGGAACUGAGACACGGUCCAGACUCCUACGGGAGGCAGCAGUAGGGAAUCUUCCGCAAUGGGCGAAAGCCUGACGGAGCAACGCCGCGUGAGUGAUGAAGGUCUUCGGAUCGUAAAACUCUGUUAUUAGGGAAGAACAAAUGUGUAAGUAACUAUGCACGUCUUGACGGUACCUAAUCAGAAAGCCACAGCUAACUACGUG